GACGAACCGUGCGAACGUUGUUCGGAAUCACUGGGCUUAAAGGGCGCGUAGGCGGCGUGCGAGGUCGGGGGUGAAAUCCCACAGCUUAACUGUGGAAGAGCCUUCGAUACCGGCGCGCUGGAGGAAGGUAGGGGUGCGCGGAACUUCUGGUGGAGCGGUGAAAUGCGUUGAUAUCAGAAGGAACGCCGGCGGCGAAAGCGGCGCACUGGACCUUUUCUGACGCUGAGGCGCGAAAGCCAGGGGAGCAAACGGG
rnacentral:rRNA from 1 species